rnacentral:rRNA from 1 species
UCCAGAGGGUGCGAGCGCUAAUCGGAAUUACUGGGCGUAAAGCGCGCGUAGGCGGCUGAUUAAGUCAGAUGUGAAAUCCCAGGGCUCAACCUUGGAACUGCAUCUGAUACUGGUCAGCUAGAGUUCAGGAGAGGGAAGUAGAAUUUCAGGUGUAGCGGUGAAAUGCAUAGAUCUCUGAAGGAAUACCAGUGGUGAAGGCGGCUUCCUGGCCUAAAACUGACGCUGAGGUGCGAAAGCGUGGGUAGCAAACGGGAUUAGAAGCCCUAGUAGUCC